AGGUAGCGAAAUUCCUUGUCGGGUAAGUUCCGACCCGCACGAAAGGCGUAACGAUCUGGGCGCUGUCUCAACAAGAGACUCGGUGAAAUCAUAGUACCUGUGAAGAUGCAGGUUACCCGCGACAGGACGGAAAGACCCCGUGGAGCUUUACUGUAGCUUGAUAUUGAGCACUGGUGGCACAUGUACAGGAUAGGUAGGAGACGAAGAAACCAGGACGCCAGUCUUGGUGGAGUCGCUGUUGGGAUACUACCCUUGUGUCACUGGGGUUCUAACCCGUGGCCCUUAUCGGGUCAGGGAACAGUGUCAGGUGGGCAGUUUGACUGGGGCGGUCGCCUCCCAAAGAGUAACGGAGGCGCCCAAAGGUUCCCUCAGAAUGGUUGGAAAUCAUUCGAAGAGUGUAAAGGCAGAAGGGAGCUUGACUGCGAGACCUACAAGUCGAGCAGGGACGAAAGUCGGGCUUAGUGAUCCGGCGGUACCGAAUGGAAGGGCCGUCGCUCAACGGAUAAAAGCUACCCCGGGGAUAACAGGCUGAUCUCCCCCAAGAGUUCACAUCGACGGGGAGGUUUGGCACCUCGAUGUCGGCUCAUCGCAUCCUGGGGCUGUAGUCGGUCCCAAGGGUUGGGCUGUUCGCCCAUUAAAGCGGUACGCGAGCUGGGUUCAGAACGUCGUGAGACAGUUCGGUCCCUAUCCGUCGUGGGCGUAGGAAAUUUGAGAGGAGCUGUCCUUAGUACGAGAGGACCGGGAUGGACACACCGCUGGUGUACCAGUUGUUCUGCCAGGAGCAUAGCUGGGUAGCUACGUGUGGACGGGAUAAACGCUGAAAGCAUCUAAGCGUGAAGCCCCCCUCAAGAUGAGAUUUCCCAUUCGAAAGAAGUAAGAUCCCUUGAAGACGACAAGGUAGAUAGGUCAGAAGUGGAAGUGUGGUGACACAUGGAGCGGACUGAUACUAAUCGAUCGAGGACUUAACCAA
rnacentral:rRNA from 1 species